ensembl:lncRNA novel transcript, antisense to PKIB
AAUCAUAAUAACAAGAAACUCAAGGGAACGACAUGGUCAGGGCUCAGGUUGUGAGUGGCAGAUGUGGAUGAAGGGGGAGCAGUCAAAGAGCCUGCAGUCAUGUCUGCAUUCUAACGCAUUCUAACAGUGGGACAGCUAUGAGAAAGUGUAUUGUAAAAUCUUAAAGACAGAGUCAUCAUGUAUGGCGCAGUCCCUGACACAUGAAGCUGACUCUGAGAUGAAGCUUCAAGUAUAGAUAGUUUAUCUGCACAAUACAGGGAACCAUGGCAAAGGACUGGGGAAUAGAAACAAGGAACAGAAAACAGCCAAUCAAGAGUGCAUUAUGAAACCAGCUACCACUAGAGGAGAUGGAAUUCUAGGAUCAUCAUGACAGAUGGGAGGCAGGACUAGAGUGCAGCUCCGGACAGAACAGCUUGCAGAAGCUUGCAUUGUGAAUUUUAGCUCCAGAUCAAGUGCAAGAACAAACCAGCAAUCCCGAGAGGACCCACAGAUCCUCUAAAGGAAGUGGACUGCUCCUGCAGGACCCUGGAGAUACCCCAAAAACUGUGAGUGCCCCAACUGCAGAAGUGGGAAAGGGAAACCUUCCUCUCCCGAACACACAUAUCCACUGGAAAAGUUGAAGGUCUGUUUGCGGGAGAAGUUUCCGACCUUACCUGGAGCUGAGCCAAUUUAGAGAGCCAAGUGAGGGUAAAACUACAUAGGGAGAAAGAAAUCCCUAGCAGAACUUUGUAAUAAUAUGAACCCGAUGAGAAGCCUCCUUGCCAGAACUUGGGGGAAGGUGUGCAAAUCUGGUGUGCAGACUCCACCAGCAGGGGAAGAACCAAGCCUUCUUCUCUCACAGCUGGGAGGCGGGAGAUUUCAAGCCUGUCUUCCCCUCUGCCUGGAAACAGACUUGGGGCUGUUGUCGCGGGGAACAGUGGGAGUGAGACUGACCCUUCGGUUUGCAUGGGAGCUGGGUGAGGCCUGUGACUGCUGGCUUUCCCCCACUUCCCUGACAACCUGCAUGGCUCAGCAGAGGCAGGCAUAAUCUUCCUAGGUACACAACUCCAGUGACCUGGGAAUCUCACUCCUAUCCCCUACAGCAGCCGCAGCAAGACCCACCCAAGGAGAGCCUGAGCUCAGACAUGCCUAGUCCUGCCCCCGCCUGAUGUUCCUUCCCUACCCUCCCUGGUAGCAGAAGACAAAGGGUAUUAAUCUUGGGAGAUCUAGGGCCCCACCCACCACCAGUCCCUCUCUAUACUCCUACAGCUGAUGCUUUCUGGAAAGCGCCACCACCUGACAGUAGGCCAACCAGCACAAAAAUAGAGCAUUAAACCACUAAAGCUAAGAACUCUCAUGGAGUCCAUUGCACCCCCUGCCACCUCCACCAGAACAGGCACUGAGACACACAGCUGAGAGACCCAAGGGCAGUUCACAUCACAGGACUAUGUGCAGACAACCCCCAGUACUAGCCCAGAGCCAGGUAGACUUACUGGGUGGCUAGACCCAGAAGAGGGACAACAAUCACUGCAGUUUGACUCACAGGAAGCCACAUCCACAGGAAAAGGAUGAGAGUACUACAUCAAGGGAACACCCCAUGGGACAAAAGAAUCUGAACAACAGCCUUCAGCCCUAGACCUUCCCUGUGACAGAGCCUACCUAAAUGAGAAGGAACCAGAAAACCAACCCUGGUAAUAUGACAAAAAAAAGCUCUUCAACACCCGUGAAAAAUCACAGUAGUGCACCAGCAAUGGAUCCAAACCAAGAAGAAAUCCUUGAUUUACCUGAAAAAGAAUCCAGGAGGUUAGUUAUUAAGCUAAUCAGGGAAGGACCAGAGAAAGGUGAAGCCCAAUGCAAGGAAAUAAAAAAAAAAAUGAUACCAGAAGUGAAGGGAGAAAUAUUCAAAGAAAUAGAUAGCUUAAGGAAAAAAACAAUCAAAAAUUCAGAAAACUUUGGACACACUUUUAGAAAUGUGAAAUGCUCUAGAAAGUCUCAGCAAUAGAAUUGAACAAGUUGAAUAAAGAAAUUCAGAGCUUGAAGACAAAGCCUUCUAAUUAACCCAAUCCAAUAAAGACAAAGAAAAAAGAAUAAGAAAAUAUGAACAAAGUCUCCAAGAAGUCUGGGAUUACGUUAAAUGACCAAACUUAAGGAUAAUUGGCAUUCCUGUGGAAGAAGAGAAUUCCAAAAGCUUGGAAAACAUAUUUGGGGGAAUAAUUGAGGAAGACUUCUCCAGCCUUGCUAGAGACCUAGACAUCCAAAUACGAAAAGCACAAGGAACACCUGGAAAAUUCAUCACAAAAAGAUCUUUGCAUAGGCACUUUGUCAUCAGAUUAUCCAAAGUUAAGACGAAGGAAAAAAUCUUAACAGCUGUGAGACGAAGCACCAAGCAACCUAUAAAGGAAAACCUAUCAGAUUAACAGCAGAUUUCUCAGCAGAAACCCUCCAAGCUAGAAGGGAUUGGGGCCCUAUCUUCAGCCUCCUCAAACAAAACAAUUAUCAGCCAAGAAUUUUGUAUCCAGCAAAACUAAGCUUCAUAUAUGAAGGAAAGAUACAGUCGUUUUCAGACAAACGAAU